CGGGACGGGUGAGUAAUGUCUGGGAAACUGCCUGAUGGAGGGGGAUAACUACUGGAAACGGUAGCUAAUACCGCAUAACGUCGCAAGACCAAAGAGGGGGACCUUAGGGCCUCUUGCCAUCGGAUGUGCCCAGAUGGGAUUAGCUAGUAGGUGGGGUAAAGGCUCACCUAGGCGACGAUCCCUAGCUGGUCUGAGAGGAUGACCAGCCACACUGGAACUGAGACACGGUCCAG
rnacentral:rRNA from 1 species